CUGUUUCGGCAAGGGGGUCAUCCCGACUUACCAACCCGAUGCAAACUGCGAAUACCGGAGAAUGUUAUCACGGGAGACACACGGCGGGUGCUAACGUCCGUCGUGAAGAGGGAAACAACCCAGACCGCCAGCUAAGGUCCCAAAGUCAUGGUUAAGUGGGAAACGAUGUGGGAAGGCCCAGACAGCCAGGAUGUUGGCUUAGAAGCAGCCAUCAUUUAAAGAAAGCGUAAUAGCUCACUGGUCGAGUCGGCCUGCGCGGAAGAUGUAACGGGGCUAAACCAUGCACCGAAGCUGCGGCAGCGACGCUGAUGCGUUGUUGGGUAGGGGAGCGUUCUGUAAGCCUGCGAAGGUGUGCUGUGAGGCAUGCUGGAGGUAUCAGAAGUGCGAAUGCUGACAUAAGUAACGAUAAAGCGGGUGAAAAGCCCGCUCGCCGGAAGACCAAGGGUUCCUGUCCAACGUUAAUCGGGGCAGGGUGAGUCGACCCCUAAGGCGAGGCCGAAAGGCGUAGUCGAUGGGAAACAGGUUAAUAUUCCUGUACUUGGUGUUACUGCGAAGGGGGGACGGAGAAGGCUAUGUUGGCCGGGCGACGGUUGUCCCGGUUUAAGCGUGUAGGCUGGUUUUCCAGGCAAAUCCGGAAAAUCAAGGCUGAGGCGUGAUGACGAGGCACUACGGUGCUGAAGCAACAAAUGCCCUGCUUCCAGGAAAAGCCUCUAAGCAUCAGGUAACAUCAAAUCGUACCCCAAACCGACACAGGUGGUCAGGUAGAGAAUACCAAGGCGCUUGAGAGAACUCGGGUGAAGGAACUAGGCAAAAUGGUGCCGUAACUUCGGGAGAAGGCACGCUGAUAUGUAGGUGAGGUCCCUCGCGGAUGGAGCUGAAAUCAGUCGAAGAUACCAGCUGGCUGCAACUGUUUAUUAAAAACACAGCACUGUGCAAACACGAAAGUGGACGUAUACGGUGUGACGCCUGCCCGGUGCCGGAAGGUUAAUUGAUGGGGUUAGCCGCAAGGCGAAGCUCUUGAUCGAAGCCCCGGUAAACGGCGGCCGUAACUAUAACGGUCCUAAGGUAGCGAAAUUCCUUGUCGGGUAAGUUCCGACCUGCACGAAUGGCGUAAUGAUGGCCAGGCUGUCUCCACCCGAGACUCAGUGAAAUUGAACUCGCUGUGAAGAUGCAGUGUACCCGCGGCAAGACGGAAAGACCCCGUGAACCUUUACUAUAGCUUGACACUGAACAUUGAGCCUUGAUGUGUAGGAUAGGUGGGAGGCUUUGAAGUGUGGACGCCAGUCUGCAUGGAGCCGACCUUGAAAUACCACCCUUUAAUGUUUGAUGUUCUAACGUUGACCCGUGAUCCGGGUUGCGGACAGUGUCUGGUGGGUAGUUUGACUGGGGCGGUCUCCUCCUAAAGAGUAACGGAGGAGCACGAAGGUUGGCUAAUCCUGGUCGGACAUCAGGAGGUUAGUGCAAUGGCAUAAGCCAGCUUGACUGCGAGCGUGACGGCGCGAGCAGGUGCGAAAGCAGGUCAUAGUGAUCCGGUGGUUCUGAAUGGAAGGGCCAUCGCUCAACGGAUAAAAGGUACUCCGGGGAUAACAGGCUGAUACCGCCCAAGAGUUCAUAUCGACGGCGGUGUUUGGCACCUCGAUGUCGGCUCAUCACAUCCUGGGGCUGAAGUAGGUCCCAAGGGUAUGGCUGUUCGCCAUUUAAAGUGGUACGCGAGCUGGGUUUAGAACGUCGUGAGACAGUUCGGUCCCUAUCUGCCGUGGGCGCUGGAGAACUGAGGGGGGCUGCUCCUAGUACGAGAGGACCGGAGUGGACGCAUCACUGGUGUUCGGGUUGUCAUGCCAAUGGCACUGCCCGGUAGCUAAAUGCGGAAGAGAUAAGUGCUGAAAGCAUCUAAGCACGAAACUUGCCCCGAGAUGAGUUCUCCCUGACUCCUUGAGAGUCCUGAAGGAACGUUGAAGACGACGACGUUGAUAGGCCGGGUGUGUAAGCGCAGCGAUGCGUUGAGCUAACCGGUACUAAUGAACCGUGAGGCUUAACCUU
rnacentral:rRNA from 1 species